UGCAGUCGGACGGGAUUGAGGAGCUUGCUUCUCAUGAGAGUGGCGCACGGGUGCGUAACACGUAUGUAACCUACCUUGUUCAGGGGGAUAGCCUCUCGAAAGAGAGAUUAACACCGCAUAAAAUCAAUUUAUGGCAUCAUAGAAUGAUCAAAUAUUUAUAGGAACAAGAUGGGCAUGCGGAACAUUAGCUAGUUGGUAAGGUAACGGCUUACCAAGGCUACGAUGUUUAGGGGAUCUGAGAGGAUGACCCCCCACACUGGUACUGAGACACGGACCAGACUCCUACGGGAGGCAGCAGUAAGGAAUAUUGGUCAAUGGACGCAAGUCUGAACCAGCCAUGCCGCGUGCAGGAAGACGGCCCUACGGGUUGUAAACUGCUUUUGUACCGGAAUAAACCUUUUCACGUGUGAGAAGCUGAAUGUACGGUAAGAAUAAGGAUCGGCUAACUCCGUGCCAGCAGCCGCGGUAAUACGGAGGAUCCAAGCGUUAUCCGGAUUUAUUGGGUUUAAAGGGUGCGUAGGUGGCCUAUUAAGUCAGGGGUGAAAGACGGUAGCUUAACUAUCGCAGUGCCUUUGAUACUGAUGGGCUUGAAUACACUUGAGGUAGGCGGAAUGUGACAAGUAGCGGUGAAAUGCAUAGAUAUGUCACAGAACACCAAUUGCGAAGGCAGCUUACUAAAGUGUUAUUGACACUGAGGCACGAAAGCGUGGGGAUCAAACAGGAUUAGAUACCCUGGUAGUCCACGCCCUAAACGAUGAAUACUCGAUGUUGGCGAUAUACGGUCAGCGUCUAAGCGAAAGCGUUAAGUAUUCCACCUGGGGAGUACGCCCGCAAGGGUGAAACUCAAAGG
rnacentral:rRNA from 1 species